rnacentral:rRNA from 1 species
CCCUUAGAUGUUCUGGGCUGCACGCGCGCUACACUGAAGCGUUCAACGAGUAUUCACCUUGCCCGGGAGGGUUGGGUAAUCUUUUGAAAACGCUUCGUGAUGGGGAUAGAUUAUUGCAAUUAUUAAUCUUCAACGAGGAAUUCCUAGUAAGCGCGAGUCAUCAGCUCGUGCUGAUUACGUCCCUGCCCUUUGUACACACCGCCCGUCGCACCUACCGAUUGAAUGGUCCGGUGAAUCUUUAGGACUGUGGCUGAGGCCUUGCCUUGUGCGGGUCUGGCCGUGGGAAUUUAGUUAAACCUUACCAUUUAGAGGAAGGUGAAGUCGUAACA